UUUUUAAAUCCUGCGCAAAAUCAUAUUUGAAGGCUUAUAUUAUGACUUUGGGCAGGAUUUAAAAA